rnacentral:rRNA from 1 species
CCUACGGGUGGCAGCAGUGAGGAAUAUUGGUCAAUGGACGAGAGUCUGAACCAGCCAAGUAGCGUGAAGGAUGACUGCCCUAUGGGUUGUAAACUUCUUUUAUAUGGGAAUAAAAUGUUCCACGUGUGGGAUUUUGUAUGUACCAUAUGAAUAAGGAUCGGCUAACUCCGUGCCAGCAGCCGCGGUAAUACGGAGGAUCCGAGCGUUAUCCGGAUUUAUUGGGUUUAAAGGGAGCGUAGGUGGAAUGUUAAGUCAGUUGUGAAAGUUUGGGGCUCAACCGUAAAAUUGCAGUUGAAACUGGCAGUCUUGAGUACAGUAGAGGUGGGCGGAAUUCGUGGUGUAGCGGUGAAAUGCAUAGAUAUCACGAAGAACUCCGAUUGCGAAGGCAGUUCACUGGACGGCAACUGACACUGAGGCACGAAAGUGUGGGUAUCAAACAGGAUUAGAUACCCCUGUAGUC